AACAUCUCCCCCUUUCUUUCGGUGACACUAAGAAAUGGCACAGACAACCAUAUUGUGGGAAUUUCGAGAACUGACACUAGUAGUAAAUAUUAGGGAAGAAGAAUUGGCACAAGCAGCCAUAUUUUGGUAUUUUCGAGAACUAACACUGGUAGCCAGUAUUGGGGAAAAAGAAUUGGCACAUGUAGCCAUAUUGUGGGUAUUUUGAGAAUUGACACUAGUAGCCAUAUUGUGGAUAUUUCGAGAAUUGACACUAGUAGUCAUAUUGUGUUAGGUCUAUUCGAUAUCGGUUCUUACAGUUCAGCAAGAAUUCGAUAACAGAGAUUUAGACAGUUUUAUCCUAGGGACGACGUUGUUGAUAGUCUUCUUGCAUAUUUUUGGCAGUGCCACGAAACGUCUUAAAGAGAGCGACCUGGUCGUGACUCAGUCAGUAAGUAUUAUUUCGUGUCAUUUGUAAUUGUUGCAAGCUAUAGUAACAACAGAAAAUGUUAUUGAAUUGAAAAUUAGUUACAAGGAAUAAGAGAAUCACCCUUUAUAUACUACAAUGCCAAACUAAUAACCAACUAGUUAAUUGAUUAAUUAAACUCUUAAUCGAUUAACGAAAACAAUAUUACAACUAAAAAGUUGGAAUCAACUAACAACUUUAACAUCCCCUCAAGCUGGAAUGGGUCAAGCAUUUCAAGCUUGAAAUGAUUGUGAUAAACAUCACACAUACUCUAAUACCUCCUCUUGCUGAUGAGCGAAUCUUCGUCUCCUAGUCUUGGAAUCUGAACGUGAAGCAAUGCUGACGCUUAACCACCAUUUGGCAGAAGAAAUUUCAUCCAACGCUUAACCAUCUUUUUGAUAGAAGCAAACCAAUCAUAACGGAUGAAAGAGAGAUAUGAGAUGGACGUGAAUGUUGAUCCUUAUAUGUUGCUUCAAUGAGGAAAAAAAUUAUACACUAUAAUGUUGUGUGUUUAAUGAGAGAGAGAUGAGUAAAGAAACUAGAGUAAUAAAGAAAUGAGAAAUAAUUGGGGAUAACAGAUGAAAGAAUGAGAAAAUGCAGCAUCUAUCCUUUUGUAAGCAUAAAUCCUUUAAUAAUAUCAAUGCUAGUUGACCCUAACUCUUGGGCUAGAGAACUAUCCAAAGCACUAACUAGCACGUCCAGGACAUUGAAAUUUACUUGGGGCUUCAUCCAUGGUGGCGAAUAGUUUCUAUGUAAGAAUUAUGUUGCCUCAAUUGAAGUAAUGCAUUAGAACCAUGCCAUAUGCUUCUUGAAAGCCUCUAAAGCACUCUACACCAUUUUGGUUUUCCAAUAUGUCAUCAUAGGAGAUAUUUUAGUUCUAUUACUAAUUUCUCCUUUUUCUCUUGAGCACGUGUAAACUCGGAUAGAGCAUGUAUAUCAGCUUCCUGAAUUUGAUGAUCGACCACUAUGUAUGGUUGGGCACACACUGUUACAUGGUAUUCUUGUUUCUUAAUGUUGUUCUUGGUCUUCCCUAUCUUCUUCAAGUAGUUGGACUUCCCCUUCUUGACAAAGAUAACAAGUUCUUGCAGUAGCAUCAUAUUUCUUUGAUCAUAUUAAAACAACAUAACUAUUGUUCCGAGUCAUAGAACCAAAGAACGUGUAGAGAAGAUAUCUUGGCCAAAGGGAGAUAUUUUGUAUCAUCAUCUUUAAUGUCAUCCAUUCAGAAACAAAUUACAAUUGCAAAGAACCAAUUUUUCCUUUAGAAAAAAAAAUGGUUCCUAACUUUGAACAACUUCAUUACGAGUAAAACUACCAAACCCUUCUUGCACACAUAUACACAUUGUAACACUAUAACCCAAGUUCCUAUUAUCUACCUCCAAUAUUCAUAUCUCUUCAAAUAAAUAGAAAUUUUUUACUGAAUCAAUUCCAAAAUAACAAAAGGAGCAAUUCUGAGAGAAAGCAAUUAGGUUUUUUUUGAAGAUUAAAUAAUUGAAAGAAGAAAAGAAAUAGGAACACCAGAAGCACGAUCAAUCUACAUUGUAGCAUUGCCAGUGGAUGCAAAUGGUGGAACAUUCUUUGGACUUUCAUUUGGAAGUUGACCAUUAUUUCCACUCAAAGAGACUGGAGAUGAAAAGAAGCAACUGGAAGAACUUAAGGAAAAGUUUGAAGGUCUAUGCAAGGUGAUAAAGGAUGUACUGGGUGAUAAGGUUGAAUCUUGGAAUUGAAGAAUGAUAAGCAGAAUCAAAGAGAAAUAAUUAGCUCUGAUACCAUGUUAAAAUGGCAGGAGCCAUAGAUAAGAGAGAUCUUCUUGAUGAACAAGAAGGAAUGAGAAAAUGUUAUUGAAUUGAAAAUGAGUUACAAGGAAUAAGGGAAUCACCCUUUAUAUAUUACAAUGUCUAACUAAUAACUAAUUAGUUAAUCGAUUAAUUAAACUCUUAAUCGAUUAACGAAAAAUAUAUUACAACUAACAAACUGAAAUCAACUAACAACUUUAGUAUGUGUGCAUUGACUAUUAGGCAUAAAUGGGGUGAGAUUAAGUAUUACUUUCAUAAACAAUGUACGCUUUCAUAUAAGUAGAGACAAUUUACAAUUUGUCCAUCAUCCGUGGAAACAAAGAUCUUUAUAUGAUGUUUAGAAUACUCUAGGACCCGCUAGUAGCAUAAGAAAUAUGUCAAAUUAGUUUUUCAUAUAUUAAAGAAGAUAAAUUUAUGUAUGGUCCCAAGAAGUGUGAAUUUAAUUAGGAGUAACUUACUAUCUAUUUUGAUAUGUGAUUACUUAUGAGAUAUCUCUAGAUCCAAGUAAUAUUAAUAUGGUGGUGAAGUGAGAAAAACCUAAGAAUCUAAGAUGGCUAUCUAGAUUAAAAGCUUUCUUAUUUUAAGUGAUUACUAUAUAUAUAAGGUUUAUUCUUGAUUCCUAUAUUUUCACUUGGCCUUUGGUUGGAUUAAGAUUAAAAAAAAGUUCUUGAUAUUGAACCUAAUGGUGAGAAGACAAAUUUCUUGAAUGUAGGAAAAGAUUAUCAAUCACUCUUUUCUUAGAGAUCUCAAACUAAUUCAUUAUGUGGCUUUAAGACUUAUGGUGAUCAACUUGUUUAGCAUGUGUGCUUAAGAAGAUAAAGAUAACUCAUGCCUUAUGGAAACUUUAGCGUCAUGGUGGCAAAACUAUAUUUUUUUGUUGUAAGAAAAUGACUUCUUGAAGUAGUUAUUUGUCUUUCAACUGAAGUCAUUGGAAGAUUGUUCCACAGUGUCCAGUGUGAGGUAUGAAGUCCAGGGUUUCUUUUUAUUUAUAUUGUACUUAAAUGUUUGUUUGUAAAAUUUCCUCUAAGAUUAUAUAUUUUGUCUUUAAUUUAUGAACAUGGAUUCACAGCUUAACAAGUCCAAUACUGUAGAUCUAUCUAAGCUGAGAAGGAAAGUUGCACAUAUAUUUCCAUGCUAUACAUGUUGUGAGUAACAUUGUGGUUGCUGUAGCUAGCUUGGCUUUAAUCUGUCCAAAUACUGGAAACUAACAUAUAUAGUAAGCCCUUUCUAACUGGUUAGUAAUUUGUUUGCAUGAGUUUUGCUUGCAAACAUGAUUUUACAUUGCAAUUGCUAUCAUAGUUUUGAUGAAAAUAAGGCUAACACAACCACCAUUGCGAUCAAGAUGUAGUUGUAUAGUUUCUAAAAAUUGUAAUUGUCACAUUGUAG
rnacentral:lncRNA from 1 species